GAAUUUUUACACACAUGUGUAAAUAUUUUGAAAUGAAUCGUACGUUCGAGUUUGCCAAGGAGUUGUUGUAUCUGAAAGACAGAAAAAAAGAGUUUUUUAACAUCUUGUUCGACAACAUAUAUUGGCAGGCAGUAUAGAUAGGUCCAGUCUGAAAUAAUAAAAAUAUUGCGAAGAGAGGCACAUAUGCUGUGUCGUCUCACUUACAUAUUGUUAUUAUUCAUUUGCGAUUCGUACACAACUGAACGCCAGCGAACGAAAAAAAAAGUUGUUUCACUGUGUGUUUAUACUCGAAUGACACGUAUAUCGUUACUACUUUUGCUUUGUUGUUUCUGCUGCCACUGCUGCUGUUGCUGUUGAAUUUCAAGCGUAUAUCGUAUAUUUUUUGUUCUAGUUAUUAGUAUAUUGUCUGUCGAGACGGUCGUACAUGUUUCAAUUUAUUCCAAGUUAUCGUAGAAUUGUCGUUUGUUGUCAUAAAUAAAUAAAUAAAAGUUUAGUCUUGUUGUGAAUCGGUCGCGCGAAAGAUGUGGCGUACGCGGUAGCUGCCCAGAAACAACAAAAUUCCACGCAGAAAAUUAUGGACCAAGACUGACAACGAAAAAUAGCAACAAAUUCAACGAAAUGUCUCCCAAAAGUAGUGCAAUAAUUUUGCUCAUCUUAGUCGUGAUGACUUCAAUAUGUGAUGCGAGACCGAAUCCCGUUCCGCCGGACUCGAGUAAAGAUCCCCUUGUUGAAGAUCAUGACGGCAAAAAUACCAUUGAGAAGGCUUGUACUCCAUUGGACGUCUUCAAAGUUGCUUGUUACAAUUGUUGGUGCAAUCGCAUUGGAACAAUGGCGCUCUGUAAAAAGGCUCGUAAAUGCAUAAAUCCGGAAGCGCCGCCUUUUAUUAUGUAUCCGGAGUUUACUUAAAUGACAACUGACUGAAAUUAGAGUUAAGGUGCGUUAAGUGACUUCCUUGAGAGAAAAUUCAAAUGUGUGUCAUUGAAUAGAAAAAAAAAUACUUUUAACUUUGUCGAUAUUAAAGCCAUACAUUAGGCAAUGAAUGCCGCAUAAUAUAAUCUACAUUUAAAAAGA